rnacentral:lncRNA from 1 species
AGCUGCUACAUUUAACUUCAUUCUCAAUACAAUUAUACUACAUUUUUUCAAGAUUACAUUAAGUAAAUGUUACAUUUAACUGUUAUAUUGUUCUUAUUUGUCUGUUCAAGUGUAUUUUUGUAAAAUAUAGUCUGGUCCUAAUUUUGUAUAUUCUUUGUCUCAAUUUUGUAGUUUAAUUGGAGCCAUGCCUCUUAGACAGUUUAUAAAUGUAGUUAGUUUGUAGUUGAUUUGAAUCUGAUGAUUAAAAUUGUAGGUAUGAUAUGUUCAAUUGUAUCCUAUAUCGCGGAUAUAUAUAACUUCAUUCUAACCACAGUUAAUAUACAUUUUUUGCAGAAUGGCCCUUA